CCCUACGGGGCGCAGCAGGCGCGAAACCUCCGCAAUGCGAGCAAUCGCGACGGGGGGACCCCAAGUGCCACUCUUAACGGGGUGGCUUUUCUUAAGUGUAAAAAGCUUUUGGAAUAAGGGCUGGGCAAGACCGGUGCCAGCCGCCGCGGUAACACCGGCAGCUCUAGUGGUAGCCAUUUUUUACCGCGGC
rnacentral:rRNA from 1 species